rnacentral:rRNA from 1 species
CCCUUCGGGGUACUCGAGUGGCGAACGGGUGAGUAACACGUGGGUGAUCUGCCCUGCACUUUGGGAUAAGCCUGGGAAACUGGGUCUAAUACCGAAUAGGACCACGCGCUUCAUGGUGUGUGGUGGAAAGCUUUUGCGGUGUGGGAUGGGCCCGCGGCCUAUCAGCUUGUUGGUGGGGUAAUGGCCUACCAAGGCGACGACGGGUAGCCGGCCUGAGAGGGUGACCGGCCACACUGGGACUGGGAUACGGCCCAGACUCCUACGGGAGGCAGCAGUGGGGAAUAUUGCACAAUGGGCGCAAGCCUGAUGCAGCGACGCCGCGUGAGGGAUGACGGCCUUCGGGUUGUAAACCUCUUUCAAUAGGGACGAAGCGCAAGUGACGGUACCUAUAGAAGAAGCACCGGCCAACUACGUGCCAGCAGCCGCGGUAAUACGUAGGGUGCGAGCGUUGUCCGGAAUUACUGGGCGUAAAGAGCUCGUAGGUGGUUUGUCGCGUUGUUCGUGAAAACUCACAGCUUAACUGUGGGCGUGCGGGCGAUACGGGCAGACUAGAGUACUGCAGGGGAGACUGGAAUUCCUGGUGUAGCGGUGGAAUGCGCAGAUAUCAGGAGGAACACCGGUGGCGAAGGCGGGUCUCUGGGCAGUAACUGACGCUGAGGAGCGAAAGCGUGGGGAGCGAACAGGAUUAGAUACCCUGGUAGUCCACGCCGUAAACGGUGGGUACUAGGUGUGGGUUCCUUCCUUGGGAUCCGUGCCGUAGCUAACGCAUUAAGUACCCCGCCUGGNGAGUACGGCCGCAAGGCUAAAACUCAAAGGAAUUGNNNNNNGCCCGCACAAGCGGNNNNNNAUGUGGAUUAAUU